GUGGAUUAGAUACCCUGGUAGUCCACGCCCUAAACGAUGUCAACUGGUUGUUGGGGGAUUUAUUCUCUUAGUAACGAAGCUAACGCGUGAAGUUGACCGCCUGGGGAGUACGGUCGCAAGAUUAAAACUCAAAGGAAUUGACGGGGGCCCGCACAAGCGGUGGAUGAUGUGGAUUAAUUCGAUGCAACGCGAAAAACCUUACCUACGCUUGACAUGUCCGAGAUCCCCGAGAGAUUGGGGAGUGCUCGAAAGAGAAUCGGAACACAGGUGCUGCACGGCUGUCGUCAACU
rnacentral:rRNA from 1 species